UAGAAUGUUGUGUACAAUUUUUGUUGGCUUC
rnacentral:piRNA from 1 species